UACGGAGGGUGCAAGCGUUAUCCGGAUUCACUGGGUUUAAAGGGUGCGUAGGUGGGCUGGUAAGUCAGUGGUGAAAUCUCCAGGCUUAACUUGGAAACUGCCAUUGAUACUAUCAGUCUUGAAUACCGUGGAGGUCAGCGGAAUAUGUCAUGUAGCGGUGAAAUGUUUAGAUAUGACAUAGAACACCAAUUGCGAAGGCAGCUGGCUACACGAAUAUUGACACUGAUGCACGAAAGCGUGGGGAUCAAACAGG
rnacentral:rRNA from 1 species